AUCCUUACCUGUCAGGGGAGAUACCGUGAUCACAAAGGUGGUUCUGCAGCGCACGGCUCAUCCAUUGCACUCCGGAUGUGCUGAUCCCUGCGAUUUCCCCAAACGUGGGAAACUCUACUGCAGAAUUUGUAGCAGUGGGGGACUGCGUUCGCACUUUCCCCUA
ensembl:snRNA U1 U1 spliceosomal RNA